GAUGAACGCUGGCGGCGCGCCUAAUACAUGCAGGUCGAGCGAACGGACGAGAAGCUUGCUUCUCUGAUGUUAGCGGCGGACGGGUGAGUAACACGUGGAUAACCUACCUAUAAGACUGGGAUAACUUCGGGAAACCGGAGCUAAUACCGGAUAAUAUUUUGAACCGCAUGGUUCAAAAGUGAAAGACGGUCUUGCUGUCACUUAUAGAUGGAUCCGCGCUGCAUUAGCUAGUUGGUAAGGUAACGGCUUACCAAGGCAACGAUGCAUAGCCGACCUGAGAGGGUGAUCGGCCACACUGGAACUGAGACACGGUCCAGACUCCUACGGGAGGCAGCAGUAGGGAAUCUUCCGCAAUGGGCGAAAGCCUGACGGAGCAACGCCGCGUGAGUGAUGAAGGUCUUCGGAUCGUAAAACUCUGUUAUUAGGGAAGAACAUAUGUGUAAGUAACUGUGCACAUCUUGACGGUACCUAAUCAGAAAGCCACGGCUAACUACGUG
rnacentral:rRNA from 1 species